rnacentral:rRNA from 1 species
AUUGAACGCUGGCGGUAGGCCUAACACAUGCAAGUCGAACGGCAGCACAGUAAGAGCUUGCUCUUACGGGUGGCGAGUGGCGGACGGGUGAGGAAUACAUCGGAAUCUACUUUUUCUUGGGGGAUAACGUAGGGAAACUUACGCUAAUACCGCAUACGACCUACGGGUGAAAGCAGGGGAUCUUCGGACCUUGCGCGAGUGAAUGAGCCGAUGUCGGAUUAGCUAGUUGGCGGGGUAAAGGCCCACCAAGGCGACGAUCCGUAGCUGGUCUGAGAGGAUGAUCAGCCACACUGGAACUGAGACACGGUCCAGACUCCUACGGGAGGCAGCAGUGGGGAAUAUUGGACAAUGGGCGCAAGCCUGAUCCAGCCAUACCGCGUGGGUGAAGAAGGCCUUCGGGUUGUAAAGCCCUUUUGUUGGGAAAGAAAAGCAGCAGGUUAAUACCCCGCUGUUCUGACGGUACCCAAAGAAUAAGCACCGGCUAACUUCGUG